rnacentral:lncRNA from 1 species
UGUUGGGUUUCUAUAUCGUUGAUCUCAUCUUCAAGCUUAAUCAUAACAAAAUGAUUUGAAACUUCAUGAAAAUUACCUAUUUUCCCAUGUGUUGCAUUAUCUAAGCAGACACCUAACUAAUAUUUGUUACUGAUAAGGUGGCGCAGAUCACAAAUGGGGUUCAUUUUGUUUGAGGCUCAGGUUUGAGGUCUUUUGGUCUAUUAAAAUUGGAAUUUGGAAAAUGAAUACGCAGGCUUACUACCGAACAGAUGUUGGCUUCAUUUUGAUUGACCUGCAUUUAAAAUAAAUGUGAUCACUGGACAUUUAA